rnacentral:lncRNA from 1 species
GUGCAGGACGUGGAAGGGGGAGGGAUGCACACACUAAACAGGAACAGGAACAUGAAUAGGUGCAUCACCGGUCACUGAGCUAGCAAGCUAAAGUUAGCUAGUUAGUCACAUAAAUGUACGUUCAGCCUGUUAAUUAUUUCUGUCCGAUUUGACUUAUCUUACGAAGUCAGCAUGGCUUAACAUAGUUUCUUUCGUUUUUGACCUCGACAUUGUUCCUCGAUAGGUAUUUUCAUAGCUAUCAUGCUGUCGCUGUUAGCUAGCUAAUGCUAGCAGCGCUAGCUAACCUCAUAUCUGGAUGCCUCACUCUAGUUCCCGAAAGAGAGCAGCAUACUGGCUGCCCAUUCCCAAACCUGAAGCCAACUGUCCCCAGCAGGAAAGACCAGGAAAAGGUGUUGGCUUAAGAUCUGCCAACCUGCUCGGUGGGUGACAGGUAACCGUCUUUCCACCAAGCUGUUCCAGGCCUGGAGUGCCACGCUGGAACUUCCAGAGGCUUGUAGACCUGAAGCAGUGUGAUGUGGUCCUGUAAGAAAAUUGUUCCUCUCUGUCGUCUGCUCCUGCAUCUGCUACACUGGCCACAACAUGUGAUACAGAUCUGCCACGCCCAGUAGUUCAGCUGCAGUCACAGCAGUCUUCUGCUGUGGUAGUUAAUUUACCGGCUGCACCAAUGCCUACUACACUGGCCGUGAAAGGAGAAACCUUUUGGUAUUCCUUGAUGGAUACAGAUCUUCCAUGCACUCCACCACUGCCUGACAGCCUCACCCAGAAGUGCAUACACGGGGCCUAUCAGAGAUGGGUGGCUGUUAAGGAAAAAUAAAACAUGCACACACACACACAUUAUCCACAAUGUAAAUAAGUUGUAAUUACUUAAUAUUUGCUCCAUUUUAUUUUAGGAUUAUAGAUAUCUACUCCUUUAUAGCCAUUCUCAAUAUCUACAUAAUUACUCAAACUAUCUAUCAAAUCAAAGUGUGAUUGAUAAUAUUGUAAAAGACUAUGGCUUAAUGUGUACAGUUUGAGGAAAUUAUGAGUGCUUUUUUUCUGAGUUGAAAAACAUGCCUCGCUCACACACAUUGGACCCAAUGUAAAUCAGUUGUAAUAACUUGUUUAUUUUAUGUAUGG